rnacentral:rRNA from 1 species
UACGUAGGGGGCGAGCGUUAUCCGGAUUUAUUGGGCGUAAAGUGUGCGUAGGCGGUUUAUUAAGUCUAAGAUUAAAGCCCGAGGCUUAACCUCGGUUCGUUUUAGAAACUGGUAGACUUGAGUGUGGUAGAGGCAAGUGGAAUUUCUAGUGUAGCGGUUAAAUGCGUAGAUAUUAGAAGGAACACCAGUGGCGAAGGCGGCUUGCUGGGCCAUUACUGACGCUGAGGCACGAAAGCGUGGGGAGCAAAUA